rnacentral:rRNA from 1 species
ACGGAAGGCAGCAGUGGGGAAUAUUGCACAAUGGGGGAAACCCUGAUGCAGCGACGCCGCGUGAGUGAAGAAGUUAUUCGUAAUGUAAAGCUCUAUCAGCAGGGAAGAAAAUGACGGUACCUGACUAAGAAGCCCCGGCUAACUACGUGCCAGCAGCCGCGGUAAUACGUAGGGGGCAAGCGUUAUCCGGAUUUACUGGGUGUAAAGGGAGCGUAGACGGUCUGGCAAGUCUGAUGUGAAAGGCAGGGGCUCAACUCCUGGACUGCAUUGGAAACUGUCAGUCUUGAGUGUCGGAGAGGUAAGCGGAAUUCCUAGUGUAGCGGUGAAAUGCGUAGAUAUUAGGAGGAACACCAGUGGCGAAGGCGGCUUACUGGACGAUAACUGACGUUGAGGCUCGAAAGCGUGGGGAGCGAACAGGAUUAGAUACCCUGGUA